rnacentral:tRNA from 1 species
GUAGAUAUAACUCAACCGGUAGAGUGUCAGACUGUGACUCUGAAAGUUACAGGUUCAAAUCCUGUUAUCUACC